rnacentral:rRNA from 1 species
GGGCACCACCAGGGGGUGUAGCCGCGGCCUAUUUGACUCAACACGGGAAAUCUCACCAGGCCCGGACACCGGAAGGAUUGACAGAUUAACAGCUCUUUCUAGAUUCGGUGGGUGGUGGUGCAUGGCCGUUCUUAGUUGGUGGAGCGAUUUGUCUGGUUACUUCCGGUAACGAACGAGACUCUAGCCUGCUAAAUAGGCGUCGCCAUUUAGGUGUGCUCGACUUCGGUCGUGCAACUCACUGGCGACGUAUUAAAAUUCUUCUUAGAGGGACCGGCGGCUUCGAGCCGCACGAGAUUGAGCAAUAACAGGUCUGUGAUGCCCUUAGAUGUCCUGGGCCGCACGCGCGCUACAUUGAAGGAAUCA